AUUGAACGCUGGCGGCAGGCCUAACACAUGCAAGUCGAACGGUAACAGGAAGAAGCUUGCUUCUUUGCUGACGAGUGGCGGACGGGUGAGUAAUGUCUGGGAAACUGCCUGAUGGAGGGGGAUAACUACUGGAAACGGUAGCUAAUACCGCAUUAUGUCGCAAGACCAAAGAGGGGGACCUUCGGGCCUCUUGCCAUCGGAUGUGCCCAGAUGGGAUUAGCUAGUAGGUGGGGUAACGGCUCACCUAGGCGACGAUCCCUAGCUGGUCUGAGAGGAUGACCAGCCACACUGGAACUGAGACACGGUCCAGACUCCUACGGGAGGCAGCAGUGGGGAAUAUUGCACAAUGGGCGCAAGCCUGAUGCAGCUAUGCCGCGUGUAUGAAGAAGGCCUUCGGGUUGUAAAGUACUUUCAGCGGGGAGGAAGGGAGUAAAGUUAAUACCUUUGCUCAUUGACGUUACCCGCAGAAGAAGCACCGGCUAACUCCGUG
rnacentral:rRNA from 1 species